AUAAUAGAAAAGGAUACUACAUUUAUCAGAAGGGAACUAAACCAAAACCUGAUCCUUCUGUGCUUCCAAUCAUAGAGAAGUCUAGAAGGCUGAUAAAUAUUAUGCCUGGUGGGAAGCCAAUAUCUGUGACUGACCAAGAAAUUGUCGAGAUGGUUCUCUUUCCAGUGGUGAAUGAGGCUUGUCGUGUUCUUGAUGAGGGAUGGUCGUCCGAGCAUCAGAUCUUGAUGUUGCAUAAGUUUUUGGAAUGAGCUUCCCCUCUUACAGGUUAGUCUUUGCAUUGUUCUUUAAAAUCUGCUUAAGUAUGUUAUCGUCCAUUGUCAAAUUCAAGCAGUCUUAUUUGAAAGAUUUAUGAUAUUUACUAAUAGAAGCAAAAACAUUGAGAACACAACCGUGAAGUAGAAACAUAUAGUAUAUCACACUAAUGCUAUUUACUACAAUAAACUAGACAAACAGACUUUUUUUUCUAGUCUCAAGAUACUGAUAAUGUAUUGCAAAGAUAGGCCAUC